UGGGGAAUUUUGGACAAUGGGCGCAAGCCUGAUCCAGCCAUGCCGCGUGCGGGAAGAAGGCCUUCGGGUUGUAAACCGCUUUUGUCAGGGAAGAAAUCUUCUGAGUUAAUACCUCGGGAGGAUGACGGUACCUGAAGAAUAAGCACCGGCUAACUACGUGCCAGCAGCCGCGGUAAUACGUAGGGUGCAAGCGUUAAUCGGAAUUACUGGGCGUAAAGCGUGCGCAGGCGGUUUUGUAAGACAGAGGUGAAAUCCCCGGGCUCAACCUGGGAACUGCCUUUGUGACUGCAAGGCUUGAGUGCGGCAGAGGGGGGAUGGAAUUCCGCGUGUAGCAGUGAAAUGCGUAGAUAUGCGGAGGAACACCGAUGGCGAAGGCAAUCCCCUGGGCCUGCACUGACGCUCAUGCACGAAAGCGUGGGGAGCAAACAGGAUUAGAUACCCUGGUAGUCCACGCCCUAAACGAUGUCAACUGGUUGUUGGGAAGGUUCCUUCUCAGUAACGUAGCUAACGCGUGAAGUUGACCGCCUGGGGAGUACGGCCGCAAGGUUGGAACUCAAAUGAAUUGACGGGGUCAUAGCUGUUU
rnacentral:rRNA from 1 species